GAGAUUGGCCUAACGGCCGUGUCUAUUCCACACACACCGUGAACCGUUUUGGAGCCCUCCAGGGGGUUCCAGACAACAACACCAAAAACAAUGUGUAAUGAAUGUAACAUAAUCGUAACAAAACA
rnacentral:misc_RNA from 1 species